rnacentral:lncRNA from 10 species
GCAUGAGCCACCGCGCCCAGCCAGAUGCCAUUUCUCAUAUACUUGUGUAUCUUUGCAACUCUCUUUGUAUUGGUGGGCUUAUGUCUUCCUUUUUAACCCAUCAACUGGCAUUUUAGUGGGGAGGGAGGAGAGUGAAGAAGGGAGCAUUUGUUCAUUCCUUCAUGAUUAACUGCAAAACAUUAUUUCUUUAAAUAGUGCCUUCCCCCCAUUUUUCUAGUCCCUCCUUUUUGAACUGUUGGAAGCUGAUUAGAACUUCUGGACCUGUUCUCCAUGUUUUUCAAUGUUUCUUCCUCACAUUACAAAGCCUUAU